UACAGAGGUCCCAAGCGUUGUUCGGAAUUACUGGGCGUAAAGGGCGCGUAGGCGGCCUGUUAAGUCGAACGUGAAAUCCCCGGGCUCAACCCGGGAACUGCGUCCGAUACUGGCAGGCUUGAAUCCGGGAGAGGGAUGCGGAAUUCCAGGUGUAGCGGUGAAAUGCGUAGAUAUCUGGAGGAACACCGGUGACGAAGGCGGCAUCCUGGACCGGUAUUGACGCUGAGGCGCGAAAGCCAGGGGAGCAAACGGG
rnacentral:rRNA from 1 species